rnacentral:rRNA from 1 species
CUUUAUUGGAGAGUUUGAUCCUGGCUCAGGAUGAACGCUGGCGGCGUGCCUAAUACAUGCAAGUCGAGCGAAUGGAUUAAGAGCUUGCUCUUAUGAAGUUAGCGGCGGACGGGUGAGUAACACGUGGGUAACCUGCCCAUAAGACUGGGAUAACUCCGGGAAACCGGGGCUAAUACCGGAUAACAUUUUGAACCGCAUGGUUCGAAAUUGAAAGGCGGCUUCGGCUGUCACUUAUGGAUGGACCCGCGUCGCAUUAGCUAGUUGGUGAGGUAAC